rnacentral:rRNA from 1 species
UACGUAGGGUGCGAGCGUUAAUCGGAAUUACUGGGCGUAAAGCGUGCGCAGGCGGUUCUCCAAGUCCGUUGUGAAAUCCCCGGGCUUAACCUGGGAAUGGCAUUUGGGACUGCAAGGCUUGAGUGCGGCAGAGGAGACUGGAAUUCCUGGUGUAGCAGUGAAAUGCGUAGAUAUCAGGAGGAAUACCGAUGGCGAAGGCAGGUCUCUGGGCUGACACUGACGCUCAUGCACGAAAGCGUGGGGAGCGAA